rnacentral:rRNA from 1 species
AUUGAACGCUGGCGGCAUGCUUUACACAUGCAAGUCGAACGGGGUGGAGGGGCAACUCUCCAUUCAGUGGCGAACGGGUGAGUAAUGCAUCGGAACGUGUCCCGUAGUGGGGGAUAACGCCGCGAAAGCGGCGCUAAUACCGCAUACGCUCUACGGAGGAAAGCAGGGGACCCGCGAGGGCCUUGUGCUAGGGGGGCGGCCGAUGUCCGAUUAGCUUGUUGGUGGGGUAAUGGCCCACCAAGGCGACGAUCGGUAGCUGGUCUGAGAGGAUGAUCAGCCACAAUGGGACUGAGACACGGCCCAGACUCCUACGGGAGGCAGCAGUGGGGAAUUUUGGACAAUGGGGGCAACCCUGAUCCAGCCAUGCCGCGUGCGGGAAGAAGGCCUUCGGGUUGUAAACCGCUUUUAGCCGGGACGAAAGCUCUACGGAUAACACCCGUGGGGGUUGACGGUACCGGCGGAAUAAGCACCGGCUAACUACGUGCCAGCCGCCGCAGUAAGAC